UUGCUUGGUCUGAUCAGUGGCGAACGGGUGAGUAACACGUGAGUAACCUGCCCCAGACUCUGGGAUAACCCCGGGAAACCGGAGCUAAUACCGGAUAUGACACCAACGGGCAUCCGUAUGGUGUGGAAAGUUUUUCGGUCUGGGAUGGACUCGCGGCCUAUCAGCUUGUUGGUGAGGUAGUGGCUCACCAAGGCGACGACGGGUAGCCGGCCUGAGAGGGCGACCGGCCACACUGGGACUGAGACACGGCCCAGACUCCUACGGGAGGCAGCAGUGGGGAAUAUUGCACAAUGGGCGGAAGCCUGAUGCAGCGACGCCGCGUGAGGGAUGACGGCCUUCGGGUUGUAAACCUCUUUCAGCAGGGAAGAAGCGCAAGUGACGGUACCUGCAGAAGAAGCACCGGCUAACUACGUGCCAGCAGCCGCGGUAAUACGUAGGGUGCGAGCGUUGUCCGGAAUUAUUGGGCGUAAAGAGCUUGUAGGUGGUUUGUCGCGUCUGCUGUGAAAAUCCGAGGCUCAACCUCGGACUUGCAGUGGGUACGGGCAGACUAGAGUGUGGUAGGGGAGACUGGAAUUCCUGGUGUAGCGGUGGAAUGCGCAGAUAUCAGGAGGAACACCGAUGGCGAAGGCAGGUCUCUGGGCCAUUACUGA
rnacentral:rRNA from 1 species